UACGGAGGAUGCAAGCGUUAUCCGGAAUGAUUGGGCGUAAAGCGUCCGCAGGUGGCAAUGUAAGUCUGCUGUCAAAGCGUCUGGCUCAACCAGAUAAAGGCAGUGGAAACUACAUAGCUAGAGUAAGGUAGGGGUAGAGGGAAUUCCUGGUGUAGCGGUGAAAUGCGUAGAGAUCAGGAAGAACACCGGUGGCGAAAGCGCUCUGCUGGACCCUAACUGACACUGAGGGACGAAAGCUAGGGGAGCGAAUGGG
rnacentral:rRNA from 1 species